UCCUAAUGAGUAUGAAUUUUUUCUCUGCAUGCACGAUGUAUAAGGAGACUCUAAUGUGUAGAUGUUGUGUUUACCCUUUUUGAAUCCUUGCUUCCGAUGAGAAGCCCGUAAGACAAGCAAUGCCGUCUAUUGAAUGAUAUGCGGAUGUGCAAAUCAUUUAUCUACGAGAGAAUAUUUGUUGAAAGAAUGUAAAUUCGAAAA
rnacentral:lncRNA from 1 species